GUAGGUGAACCUGCGGAAGGAUCAUUACCGAGUCGUCGACACGAGUUGUUGCUGGUCCUCAAACAGGGGACAUGUGCACGCUCUGUUUACACAUCCACUCACACCUGUGCACCCUCUGUAGUUCUAUGGUCUGGGGGCCCUGCCUCCCUUCUGUGGUUCUACGUCUUUACGCACACACUGUAAUAAAGUCUUAUGGAAUGUAUGCCGCGUUUAACGCAAUACAAUACAACUUUCAGCAACGGAUCUCUUG
rnacentral:misc_RNA from 1 species